rnacentral:tRNA from 1 species
GGUCGCUUAGCUCAGUUGGUUAGAGCGUGGUGCUAAUACUGACAGCCCUUUCAGAGGGCUUACUGUUAACGCCAAGGUCGCGAGUUCGACCCUCGUAGUGACCA